rnacentral:rRNA from 1 species
CGUACAAGGUUUCCGUAGGUGAACCUGCGGAAGGAUCAUUGUCG